AUUGAACGCUGGCGGAAUGCUUUACACAUGCAAGUCGAACGAUGAACCCUAGCUUGCUAGGGGGAUUAGUGGCGAACGGGUGCGUAAUAUAUCGGAACGUGCCUUGUAAUGGGGGAUAACUAGUCGAAAGAUUAGCUAAUACCGCAUACGCCCCGCGGGGGAAAGUCGGGGAUCUUCGGACCUUCCGUUAUAAGAGCGGCCGAUAUCUGAUUAGCUAGUUGGUGGGGUAAUGGCCUACCAAGGCAUCGAUCAGUAGCUGGUCUGAGAGGACGACCAGCCACACUUGAACUGAGACACGGUCCAGACUCCUACGGCAGGCAGCAGUGGGGAAUUUUGGACAAUGGGCGCAAGCCUGAUCCAGCCAUUCCGCGUGAGUGAAGAAGGCCUUCGGGUUGUAAAGCUCUUUCGCAAGGGAAGAAAACUUACCUUCUAAUAAAGGGUGAGGCUGACGGUACCUUGAUAAGAAGCACCGGCUAACUACGCGCCAGCAGCAGCCGCGGUAA
rnacentral:rRNA from 1 species